GAUGAAGAACGCAGCGAAAUGCGAUAAGUAGUGUGAAUUGCAGAAUUCAGUGAAUCAUCGAAUCUUUGAACGCACAUUGCGCCCCUUGGUAUUCCAUGGGGCAUGCCUGUUCGAGCGUCAUUUGUACCUUCAAGCUCUGCUUGGUGUUGGGUGUUUGUCUCGCCUUGCGCGUAGGCUCGCCUUAAAACAAUUGGCAGCCGGCGUAUUGAUUUCGGAGCGCAGUACAUCUCGCGCUUUGCACUCAUAACGACGACGUCCAAAAGUACUUUUUACACUCUUGACCUCGGAUCAGGUAGGGAUACCCGCUGAACUUAAGCAUAUCAAUAAGCGGAGGA
rnacentral:misc_RNA from 1 species